rnacentral:rRNA from 1 species
AACAAACGCUGGCGGCGUGCCUAAUACAUGCAAGUCGAACGGGGAAAGCUUUCGGGCGAGUACUAGUGGCGCACGGGUGAGUAACGCGUGGAUAAUCUGCCUUAGAGUGGGGGAUAACUAGUCGAAAGAUUAGCUAAUACCGCAUAAGACCACAAGAACUGCGGUUCAAGGGGUCAAAGGUUUUUGGCUCUAAGAUGAGUCCGCGUAAGAUUAGCUAGUUGGUGAGGUAAUGGCUCACCAAGGCGACGAUCUUUAACUGGUCUGAGAGGAUGAUCAGUCACACUGGAACUGAGACACGGUCCAGACUCCUACGGGAGGCAGCAGUAGGGAAUAUUGCACAAUGGAGGAAACUCUGAUGCAGCGACGCCGCGUGAGUGAUGAAGGCCUUCGGGUCGUAAAGCUCUGUCGCAAGGGAAUAACACAAUGAAUGUACCUUGCAAGAAAGGAUCGGCUAACUUCAUGCCAGCCGCCGCGGUAA